rnacentral:rRNA from 1 species
CUACGGAGGGUCCGAGCGUUAAUCGGAAUUACUGGGCGUAAAGCGCGCGUAGGCGGCUAUAUAAGUCAGAUGUGAAAUCCCUGGGCUCAACCUAGGAACUGCAUUUGAAACUGUAUGGCUAGGGUAUGGUAGAGGUGAGUGGAAUUUCAGGUGUAGCGGUGAAAUGCGUAGAGAUCUGAAGGAACAUCAGUGGCGAAGGCGACUCACUGGGCCAUUACUGACGCUGAGGUGCGAAAGCGUGGGUAGCAAACAGGAUUAGAAACCCUAGUAGUCC